rnacentral:rRNA from 1 species
GAAGAGCUCAACUUGAAAAUCUGGGUCGUUGUACGGCUCCGAAUUGUAGUCUAAAGAAACGCAGCCAUCGGCCGACGCGAGACAAGUCCCUUGGAAAAGGGCGCCCCAGAGGGUGACAGUCCCGUACAUGCUUGCGUGGGUCCGUCUACGGCGUGUUUUCGACGAGUCGAGUUGCUUGGGAUUGCAGCUCAAAGCGGGUGGUAAAUUCCAUCUAA